AUUGAACGCUGGCGGCAUGCUUUACACAUGCAAGUCGAACGGCAGCACGGGGCAACCUGGUGGCGAGUGGCGAACGGGUGAGUAAUGCAUCGGAACGUGCCAUUGAGUGGGGGAUAACGUAGCGAAAGUUGCGCUAAUACCGCAUAUUCUGUGAGCAGGAAAGCAGGGGACCGCAAGGCCUUGCGCUCUUUGAGCGGCCGAUGUCAGAUUAGCUAGUUGGUGAGGUAACGGCUUACCAAGGCGACGAUCUGUAGCGGGUCUGAGAGGAUGAUCCGCCACACUGGAACUGAGACACGGUCCAGACUCCUACGGGAGGCAGCAGUGGGGAAUUUUGGACAAUGGGCGCAAGCCUGAUCCAGCCAUGCCGCGUGAGUGAAGAAGGCC
rnacentral:rRNA from 1 species